rnacentral:rRNA from 1 species
UACGGAGGGUGCAAGCGUUAUCCGGAUUCACUGGGUUUAAAGGGUGCGUAGGCGGGUAAGUAAGUCAGUGGUGAAAUCUCCAAGCUUAACUUGGAAACUGCCGUUGAUACUAUUUAUCUUGAAUAUCGUGGAGGUAAGCGGAAUAUGUCAUGUAGCGGUGAAAUGCUUAGAUAUGACAUAGAACACCAAUUGCGAAGGCAGCUUACUACGCGGUCAUUGACGCUGAGGCACGAAAGCGUGGGGAGCAAACAGG